GUGCCCGCGGUUGUUCCCGCCCGCGAUGCCGAAGCGGAGGCUGUCGGAGCCCGGCCGGCCGGGAGCCGCCGCCGUGGCCAUGCGGAACAGCGGCGCCGGAGUCUGGAGCUUGGAGGGAAGAGGGAGGAUUUCCCUGCUCCAGGAACAUGCCCACAGCCACAGUGGGGUCAUCUUCAAGGAGCUGCAGACCCAAAGUGUCGCUCCAUCAUCCAGAGAGGGAUUCUUUUGAAGCACUCUGGUGGAGUUUUCCCUUCCCCAGCACAACCCUGGGAUUCAUUUCCCCACCCAGCUCCACAUCCAGCUGGAGCUCCUGCCAAUCCAAACAUCCUCCAUCCGCUGCCAUCCUGCAAAGCAUCGCUCCAUCAUCCCCCUCCCCUCUACACCAGCCUUUCCCUUGGAUAUGGAAAAAAAAGUGGGGGAAAAUGGCAGAGCACUUGGGACCAAGG